GAUCCGUCGUAUAAGGAGAUAUCAAAUCGAGCUAAGAAAAAUCGUGCUUCUUCUAAAGGAGGAGCUGUCCAUACAGGCUGAAGAGUUAGGUAGAGACCCCACAUUGGAUGAGGUCUUUUUAAAAACUCACACUAAGAAGAAGGACAACUCUUGGGUUGAUGAAAGAGCAAAAAAAAACAUAUGAAACAUUUCAAGGUAAGUUGCAACAAGCCUAUAAAGGUGGGGAAACAUCUAGUAGUU